rnacentral:rRNA from 1 species
AAUCUUCCGCAAUGGACGAAAGUCUGACGGAGCAACGCCGCGUGAAUGAUGAAGGUCUUCGGAUCGUAAAACUCUGUUGUUAGUGCAGAACAAGUAUCGUUCGAAUAGGGCGGUACCUUGACGGUACCUAACCAGAAAGCCACGGCUACCUACGUCCCAGCAGACGCGGUAAUACGUAGGUGGCAAGCGUUAUCCGGAAUUAUUGGGCGUAAAGCGCGCUGUGGCUGUUUCUUAAGUCUGAUCUGAAAGCCCACGGCUCAAGCGUGGAGGGUCAUUGUAAACUGGGAAGCUUGAGUGCAGAAGAGGAGAGUGGAAUUCCAUGUGUAGCGGUGAAAUGCGUAGAGAUAUGGAGGAACACCAGUGGCGAAGGCGACUCUCUGGUCUGCAACUGACGCUGAGGCGCGAAAGCGUGGGGAGCGAACA